rnacentral:rRNA from 1 species
CAGCCGCCACGGGAAUACGUAGGGUGCAAGCGUUGUCCGGAAUUAUUGGGCGUAAAGAGCUCGUAGGCGGUUUGUCGCGUCUGCUGUGAAAACGCGAGGCUCAACCUCGCGCCUGCAGUGGGUACGGGCAGACUAGAGUGUGGUAGGGGAGAUUGGAAUUCCUGGUGUAGCGGUGGAAUGCGCAGAUAUCAGGAGGAACACCGAUGGCGAAGGCAGAUCUCUGGGCCAUUACUGACGCUGAGGAGCGAAAGCGUGGGGAGCGAACAGGAUUAGAUACCCCCGUAGUCCCUGUCUCUUAUAC